GUCUACACUGGCCAGGGUUCUGGGUAUAGUUGUGCCAGGUCACAGGCUGUCAACUUUGAAAAAGCCCUUGGUGCCCUCUCAUGACAUGGGUGUAAAUCCCCAAACAGGGCUGGACUCAUAGCUUCCCAGAAGUGAUAGUUUCUUUUCCUCAUCGACGAGGGUUUACAGUCAGGGAAACAGAGGGUAGAAAUGGGCAGUACCCACCCAAAGCUGUUCCUCUCUGGGUUCUCUGGAUUUGUCCAAAGGAGAAUAAGUUCACCGUUGUCACCCCUCACCCCAAACAAAAGCCACAAACAUGCUAGGGGGCCCCAGAAUGCUCCAUGGGAAAUCCAGGCCUCAGCAGCAACCUGGAAAAGGCCCAGACCACCACCUGCCCGAGAGGCCCACCACACUGGAGGCAGGACCACGGUCCCCUAUUUGAUCUCUGCCAACAGUUGGACUCUCUGCCUCUUGCUGUGUCUGUUUCUACCUGUCACCAUUUUUUUAAGGGGCAAAGUUUUAAUUGGCUCACAGCUGUCACCGUUCUUGUCUCCCCAGGGGUUUGGUUACCAGUAUCAGCCCCAUCACACCCAGAGCACCCGCCUGGCCAAGGGACCGGGCUCUUGUUUCUGGUGCAGGAGGCACAGGUUUCACAGCGAGGAUGCCUGAGGAGCUUGUGCAGAUGUCUGCCUUAGCUCCCUCAUGGUGACAGAGUGGCCCUGGGAUGCCUUUCUGGAGGCUACAGGGUGGAGGAGGGAACUUCAUGGAGGCAUCUGGGUUGGAGCACAAGGCUGGAGGAGUUGCAAUGGAAGUGUUCUGUGAAGCCUAACUCGGUUCCUGAACAAGCAGCGAGGACCCUGCUACUGCAAGGCAGGCGGCAGAACCACUGAGCCAAACCCCGGCCCCUGACAGGAUUUUCUCUUCAGAUCUACCAUGCAGACCUCCUCAUCUGUCAAGGACUACUCCCUCCCCAGCCCUGAGGCUGACCGUGGAUCUCUCAGAAUAAAGGCC
rnacentral:lncRNA from 1 species